rnacentral:rRNA from 1 species
UACGUAGGGUGCAAGCGUUAAUCGGAAUUACUGGGCGUAAAGCGUGCGCAGGCGGUUUUGUAAGUCUGCCGUGAAAUCCCCGGGCUUAACCUGGGAAUGGCGAUGGAGACUGCAAGGCUAGAGUUUGGCAGAGGGGGGUAGAAUUCCACGUGUAGCAGUGAAAUGCGUAGAGAUGUGGAGGAACACCGAUGGCGAAGGCAGCCCCCUGGGUCAAAACUGACGCUCAUGCACGAAAGCGUGGGGAGCAAACAGG